AUUGAACGCUGGCGGCAUGCCUUACACAUGCAAGUCGAACGGCAGCACGGGAGCAAUCCUGGUGGCGAGUGGCGAACGGGUGAGUAAUAUAUCGGAACGUGCCCAGUCGUGGGGAUAACGUAGCGAAAGCUACGCUAAUACCGCAUACGAUCUAUGGAUGAAAGCGGGGGAUCGCAAGACCUCGCGCGAUUGGAGCGGCCGAUAUCAGAUUAGGUAGUUGGUGAGGUAAAGGCUCACCAAGCCGACGAUCUGUAGCUGGUCUGAGGGGACGACCAGCCACACUGGGACUGAGACACGGCCCAGACUCCUACGGGAGGCAGCAGUGGGGAAUUUUGGGACAAUGGGCGCAAGCCUGAUCCAGCAAUGCCGCGUGCAGGAUGAAGGCCUUCGGGUUGUUAACGUAGC
rnacentral:rRNA from 1 species